rnacentral:rRNA from 1 species
UACGUAGGGGGCUAGCGUUGUCCGGAAUCAUUGGGCGUAAAGCGUGCGCAGGCGGUUCGUCGUGUCCGAUGUGAAAGCCCCGGGCUCAACCUGGGAAUGGCAUUGGAAACUGGCGGACUCGAGUGUGGCAGAGGGGGGUGGAAUUCCGCGUGUAGCAGUGAAAUGCGUAGAUAUCGGGAGGAACACCUGUGGCGAAAGCGGCUCACUGGACCACAACUGACGCUGAGGCGCGAAAGCUAGGGGAGCAAACAGG